ACUCACCUUCAUGUGCAAAGGGAAGCAGAGAGAAAGUAGCCUGGAGACAAAUACACACACCCACACGAGGGACAAUAACUGUCUAGGUUCCUGCUGCUUUUCCAAUUGCUGGUUCCAGUUCCCAAUGAGGCCUGACUGGAGCUCUGGACAUGGUGGUGUAUUGAGGACCUACACAGAAACUGGGUUCUUGUGGACUCUGUUGGAGCUCUCAUCUCAACCUGACAACCUGGAGAUGGGCAAAGUACAGGGUGGGACGCCUACCACGACAAGGCUCUUGCCAAGCAGUGCCACGUCUGCACCCAGGAUCCGACCCGGCGAACCCUGGGCCACCGAAGCGGAACGUGCGCACUUAACCGCUGCGCCACCAGGCUGGCCCCAGAAUUUCUAAUUUUUAAAAACAAUUUAUUUCUCUCUAUGUAUUCUCCAUUUAGUGAGACCCUGUCUUCAUACUUUCCUUAAGUUCUUUAGGCAUGGUUUACUUUAGUCCUUUGAGCAUAUUUAAAAUAUCCCAUGUAAUAUCUUUGUCUAGGAAGCCAAUAUAUGUGCUUCCCCAGGGAAGGUUUCUAUUGACUGAUAUUUAUCCUGUGUAUGGACCAUACUUUCUUGUUUCUUUAUAUGCCUCAUAAAUUUUUGUUCAAAACUAGACAUUUUAAGUAAUAGAAUAUGCCAAUUCUGGAAAUAAGAUUCUUCCCUCUUUCCAGUGAUUGUUGUUGAUCUCAGAUGUGGUUGCUGUUUUUUUGUUUAAUAACAAAUGGGGAAAAUGGCAAUUAAAGGAUUAAAGUAUAAAUAAAUUGUGAUCUAUGAAUACAAGGACAUAUUACUAGAUGUUAAAGGUCACAGAUAGUAGACAACUGUGGCUUGAAGUCUGAGGUCAGGAGAUGUUAACUGCAAAGAGGCUCAAGGAAAUUCUGAGGUGACGGAAUUGUGGUAUAUAUUUUUUAUGGUACAGAGUUAUACAGGCAUAUAUAUUUGUGAAAACUGUUAAAAUUUAUACCUAAAUGAGUAAAAUUUGACGUAAAUAUUUGAUUUAAUUAU
rnacentral:lncRNA from 1 species